rnacentral:rRNA from 1 species
UGGGGAAUAUUGCACAAUGGGGGAAACCCUGAUGCAGCGACGCCGCGUGAGUGAAGAAGUAUUUCGGUAUGUAAAGCUCUAUCAGCAGGGAAGAAGCAAGACGGUACCUGAGUAAGAAGCCCCGGCUAACUACGUGCCAGCAGCCGCGGUAAUACGUAGGGGGCAAGCGUUAUCCGGAUUUACUGGGUGUAAAGGGAGCGUAGACGGAUCUGCAAGUCUGGAGUGAAAGCCCGGGGCUCAACCCCGGGACUGCUUUGGAAACUGCCGGGCUUGAGUGCCGGAGGGGUAAGCGGAAUUCCUAGUGUAGCGGUGAAAUGCGUAGAUAUUAGGAGGAACACCAGUGGCGAAGGCGGCUUACUGGACGGUAACUGACGUUGAGGCUCGAAAGCGUGGGGAGCAAACAGGAUUAGAUACC